CACCCGAUGUCACAGGAAGGCCAUAAAGAUCAUCAAGGACCUCAGCCACCCGAGCCGCUAGCUGUUCACCCCACUAUCGUCCAGAAGAGGACCUGAGCCCGAGAACCAUGCCUCAGGACUACCUGGCCUGAUGACUCCAUGCUGUCCCAAGUCCACCUGUCCCUAGGACCAUGCCUCGGGACUACCUGGCCUGAUGACUCCAUGCUGUCCCAAGUCCACCUGGCCCUAGGACCAUGCCUCAGGACUACCUGGCCUGAUGACUCCAUGCUGUCCCAAGUCCACCUGGCCCUAGGACCAUGCCUCAGGACUACCUGGCCUGAUGACUCCAUGCUGUCCCCAGUCCACCUGGCCCUAGGACCAUGCCUCAGGACUACCUGGCCUGAUGACUCCAUGCUGUCCCAAGUCCACCUGGCCCUAGGACCAUGCCUCAGGAUUACCUGGCCUGAAGACUCCAUACUGUCCCCAGUCCACCUGGCCGUGCUGCUCCUCUUCUGUCCUUUCGAGGGAGUUUUUCCUAGCCACCGUGCUUCUACACCUGCAUUGCUUGCUGUUUGGGGGUUUUAGGCUGUGUUUCUGUACAGCACUUUGAGAUAUCAGCUGAUGUAAGAAGUCCUUUAUAAAUAAAUUUGAUUUGAAAUCAAUUUGAUUUGUUAAACAGCCAUCACUAACACAGAGAGGCGACUGCCUACCUCCAGACUUUGAUAUCAUUGGCCUCUUUAAUAAAUGGAACACUAGUCACUUUAA